rnacentral:rRNA from 1 species
UACGUAGGGGGCAAGCGUUGUCCGGAAUCAUUGGGCGUAAAGCGUACCGAUAGGUGGUUGUAUAAGUCAGAUGUGAAAUCUCCGAGCUCAACUCGGAAUCUGUCAUUUGAAACUAUACAACUAGAGGGGCAAAGAGGAAGCUGGAACGAACGGUGUAGUAGUGAAAUGCGUUGAUAUCGUUCGGAACACCAAUAGCGAAGGCGGGCUUCUGGGUGCCACCUGACACUGCUAGGACGAAAGCGUGGGGAGCGAAUGGG